UACGAAGGGUGCAAGCGUUGUUCGGAAUUACUGGGCGUAAAGGGUUUGUAGGCUGAAAUGUAAGUCAAGUGUGAAAUCCCCGAGCUAAACUUGGGACGUGCAUUUGAAACUGUGUUUCUUGAGUAUCGUAGAGGGUGGUGGAAUUGUAGGUGUAGGAGUGACAUCCGUAGAGAUCUGCAGGAACAUCAGAGGCGAAGGCGACCACCUGGCCGAUUACUGACGCUGAGGAACGAAAGCGUGGGGAGCAAACAGG
rnacentral:rRNA from 1 species